rnacentral:snoRNA from 1 species
AGGCCGUGAUGGGGACACUUGCGUAAUAGCUCCUUGAACCUUUCCCAUGUUUCAUAUAAGGAUUCCCCGUCCUCUUGUGAGUAUGUAUUAAUUUCGGUCAU